rnacentral:rRNA from 1 species
CAAUCAAACCGGGAGAUAGCUGGUUCUCCCCGAAAGCUAUUUAGGUAGCGCCUCGUGAAUUCAUCUCCGGGGGUAGAGCACUGUUUCGGCAAGGGGGUCAUCCCGACUUACCAACCCGAUGCAAACUGCGAAUACCGGAGAAUGUUAUCACGGGAGACACACGGCGGGUGCUAACGUCCGUCGUGAAGAGGGAAACAACCCAGACCGCCAGCUAAGGUCCCAAAGUCAUGGUUAAGUGGGAAACGAUGUGGGAAGGCACAGACAGCCAGGAUGUUGGCUUAGAAGCAGCCAUCAUUUAAAGAAAGCGUAAUAGCUCACUGGUCGAGUCGGCCUGCGCGGAAGAUGUAACGGGGCUAAACCAUGCACCGAAGCUGCGGCAGCGACACUGUGUGUUGUUGGGUAGGGGAGCGUUCUGUAAGCCUGCGAAGGUGUGCUGUGAGGCAUGCUGGAGGUAUCAGAAGUGCGAAUGCUGACAUAAGUAACGAUAAAGCGGGUGAAAAGCCCGCUCGCCGGAAGACCAAGGGUUCCUGUCCAACGUUAAUCGGGGCAGGGUGAGUCGACCCCUAAGGCGAGGCCGAAAGGCGUAGUCGAUGGGAAACAGGUUAAUAUUCCUGUACUUGGUGUUACUGCGAAGGGGGGACGGAGAAGGCUAUGUUGGCCGGGCGACGGUUGUCCCGGUUUAAGCGUGUAGGCUGGUUUUCCAGGCAAAUCCGGAAAAUCAAGGCUGAGGCGUGAUGACGAGGCACUACGGUGCUGAAGCAACAAAUGCCCUGCUUCCAGGAAAAGCCUCUAAGCAUCAGGUAACAUCAAAUCGUACCCCAAACCGACACAGGUGGUCAGGUAGAGAAUACCAAGGCGCUUGAGAGAACUCGGGUGAAGGAACUAGGCAAAAUGGUGCCGUAACUUCGGGAGAAGGCACGCUGAUACGUAGGUGAAGUCCCUCGCGGAUGGAGCUGAAAUCAGUCGAAGAUACCAGCUGGCUGCAACUGUUUAUUAAAAACACAGCACUGUGCAAACACGAAAGUGGACGUAUACGGUGUGACGCCUGCCCGGUGCCGGAAGGUUAAUUGAUGGGGUCAGCGCAAGCGAAGCUCUUGAUCGAAGCCCCGGUAAACGGCGGCCGUAACUAUAACGGUCCUAAGGUAGCGAAAUUCCUUGUCGGGUAAGUUCCGACCUGCACGAAUGGCGUAAUGAUGGCCAGGCUGUCUCCACCCGAGACUCAGUGAAAUUGAACUCGCUGUGAAGAUGCAGUGUACCCGCGGCAAGACGGAAAGACCCCGUGAACCUUUACUAUAGCUUGACACUGAACAUUGAGCCUUGAUGUGUAGGAUAGGUGGGAGGCUUUGAAGUGUGGACGCCAGUCUGCAUGGAGCCGACCUUGAAAUACCACCCUUUAAUGUUUGAUGUUCUAACGUUGACCCGUAAUCCGGGUUGCGGACAGUGUCUGGUGGGUAGUUUGACUGGGGCGGUCUCCUCCUAAAGAGUAACGGAGGAGCACGAAGGUUGGCUAAUCCUGGUCGGACAUCAGGAGGUUAGUGCAAUGGCAUAAGCCAGCUUGACUGCGAGCGUGACGGCGCGAGCAGGUGCGAAAGCAGGUCAUAGUGAUCCGGUGGUUCUGAAUGGAAGGGCCAUCGCUCAACGGAUAAAAGGUACUCCGGGGAUAACAGGCUGAUACCGCCCAAGAGUUCAUAUCGACGGCGGUGUUUGGCACCUCGAUGUCGGCUCAUCACAUCCUGGGGCUGAAGUAGGUCCCAAGGGUAUGGCUGUUCGCCAUUUAAAGUGGUACGCGAGCUGGGUUUAGAACGUCGUGAGACAGUUCGGUCCCUA